AAUGUUACUCAAAGAAAAAGAUCCACCGACCUCUGGGUUAUGGGCCCAGCACGCUUCCACUGCGCCACGCUGC